GAUGAAGAACGUAGCGAAAUGCGAUACUUGGUGUGAAUUGCAGAAUCCCGUGAACCAUCGAGUCUUUGAACGCAAGUUGCGCCCGAAGCCACUAGGCCGAGGGCACGCCUGCCUGGGCGUCACACGCCGUUGCCCCCCCAUCUACUCCUUCGGGAUUGCGGGGGGGCGGAUGAUGGCCUCCCGUGCGCCUAGCCGCGCGGUUGGCAUAAAUACCAAGUCCUCGGCGACGCACGCCACGACAAUCGGUGGUUGCGAAACCUCGGUUGCCCGUCGUGUGCGUCCGUCGCGCAUCGAGGGCUCGAAAAAAUGCUCGGCUCCGGCUGGGCUUUCAACGCGACCCCAGGUCAGGCGGGGUUACCCGCUGAAUUUAAGCAUAUCAAUAAGCGGAGGA
rnacentral:misc_RNA from 1 species